AUGGCGCUUCCCCAGCUCCUGGCGCUCGCGGCCCUAGUGGCGUCGCUGCCGUCGGCUUCCCCCGCGGCGGCGGGGACGGCUGGUGCAUUCGACAACUGGCUGUCGGCGAACCAGAAAGAUUUCGCGAUCAACCAGGCGUUGUACGCGAAGAAGGCGGUGGGUGACACGGGCAGCACCAUCGACGAGUCCCUGUCCAAGGCGGAGGAUAACAAGACCACCUACGUGGUGGACCCCAAGGGCGGUGGUGACUACAAGACCAUCACGGCCGCGAUCGACGCCAUCCCGGAGGGCAACACCGGUCGCGUAAUCCUGGACCUGAAACCCGGCGAGUACCGUGAGAAGAUCUUCCUCAACCUCAGCAAGCCCUACGUCACUUUCAAGUCCGAUCCCAAGAACCCGGCCAUCAUCGCCUGGAGCGACACCGCUGCGACGCUAGGGAAAGAUGGGAAGCCCGUGGGCACGGUGGGGAGCACCACCUGCGCCAUCGAGUCCGACUACUUCGUGGCGUACGGCGUGGUGUUCAAGAACGACGCGCCACUGGCCAAGCCGGGGGUCAAGGGCGGGCAGGCGGUGGCGCUGCGUACGUUCGGCACCAAGCAGGCCUUCUACAACUGCACCAUCGACGGCGGGCAGGACACGCUGUACGACCAUAAGGGGCUGCACUACUUCAAGGACUGCGUGAUCAAAGGGAGCGUGGACUUCAUCUUCGGGUUUGGGAGGUCCCUGUACGAGAACUGCCGCAUCGUGUCCAUCGUGAAGGAGAUCGCCGUGCUCACGGCGCAGCAGCGGACCAAGACCAUCGAGGGCGCUAUCGAGAGCGGGGCGUGGGGGGACUCGUCGCGCGUCAUCUACGCCUACACCGAGAUGAGCAAGGAGGUGGUGCCAGUUGGAUGGGACGGAUGGAACAUCAAGCAGCCUGAGAGUAGCGGGAUCUACUACGGCGAGUUCAAAUGCAGUGGGCCGGGGUCGGACGCGAGGAAGAGGGUCGGGUGGGCUGUGGAUCUCACCGAGGCCCAGGCCAAGCCCUUCAUCGGCACACACUACGUCUUCGGCGACUCUUGGAUUCUGCCACCGCCAACUGGGAACUCUCCUCCCUCCAAAAAAGGCUACAGUGGAGGAGCCCCCCGCCACAUCCCCCGCCGCAUCCCCCGCCUCAUCGCCCGAGUCCGCAGAUUCGGCCUCGUCGCCCGAGUCGGCGGAUUCGGCCGAGUCGCCCAAGUCGGCGUCCAAAGCCUCGUCGCCCAAAUCCGCCUACUCAGCUGGAUCCAAGACGAAGAAGAAAGAAUUAUAGAGGAAGAAGAUAUCACUCUUCUUCGUGUGUUAGAGGCAACGCUUCACCAUCUUGCUCUGCAAGAGGCUUCGAUCGGGCUUUAG
rnacentral:rRNA from 1 species